GAUGAAACACACUAUGUUCAAACAAUAAUAAGUAAUUGAGCUGUAAAUUUGCAUAAGUAUCUCACAGAAUGUAUUUCUAUGAAAUGAAUAUGAUUGGCAGAUAAUUCUGACUCCCAAUAUCAGCUACAACUGCACUUGUUAAUAAUUUGAAGUGUACUUAACGGAAGGUGCAUGUUCCGUUAAGAACAAUUUAAACUGCUACCAUUCUUUAGAUUUGUCAUCUAACUGAAAAAAUACAAAGAAGUAUUGAGAUAUUGAGUAUUUAGUAUUGAGAUUUGCUGCACAACCCAAAAGGGCUCCAAAGAAGGUGACGAGAAAUAAUAGCAGUAACAGUAAGAAACAAAACUCUAAAAUCUAAUACAUGUAGCAUGGGCUGAUACAGAUUUUGCUUUCUCACUCUUCAAUUUUUCCCCACAAGCCAUUUCCAAAAGCAGACAAAGAGCAAUGUUUCAAAGUGUCUUGUCUGUGCCUUUUUCUAACAAAUGGAGCGAUUGCACACCAGCUAUCCGUGGCAUGCUGCCUUCUAUGUCUCUUUGUUCCAUCACAGCCGUACUUCGUUGAGAUCAUAGGUGAAGGCUCUGUUCCAAUUGUCAUUAACUUCAGAGGCAAGAUAAAUGCAAGGAGGCAUGGCUUGCCUGGAUGGGAAAAGACUUUUCAAUAUCAACUCCAGGUGGUCAUGAGUGUUCAUGUUCCUGAUUGAUCGCUACAGAUGGUGGACUUCCUGCGCAAUUGUCGUGUGGAGUAACAUCCUGCCAUAACUCUUGAAAAGGAAAGAAAGAAUAUUCAUGGAUUUUGCUCAAUUCCAUAGGUUGGAGAAAUCCACUAAGCAUGCAUAGCAUGAAACAUUAAAGGUGCCUGGAAGCUUAUUCAGAAGUAAUUGUGUUGUGGGAUUUUUGCUGGGGUUUUGUUUUGUGUUUUGCAAACUUUCAAAAAGAAAUAUGUGGCUGUUAUUCAAUUUAUUUUCAGUACCCAUUUUCUAUUCUUUUUUUUUUCAGUUUUAUUUAUUUAUUUAUUUUUUUGAGAAAAUCAUCUAAAAAGGUAGGAAGAUGGUAUAACAUAUACAAAAUACCCCAAUAAAGCAUUUUGGCCCUCCA
rnacentral:lncRNA from 1 species